rnacentral:sRNA from 2 species
UUUUAGCCCCAAUAGCAGUGAAAAUCCUUUUGCUUUUUUCUUUAAAAAGCAAAAGAUUGGAACAGAUUGCUUCGC